rnacentral:rRNA from 1 species
GACGAACGCUGGCGGCGUGCUUAACUCAUGCAAGUCGAACGGAAAGGCCCUGCUUUUGUGGGGUGCUCGAGUGGCGAACGGGUGAGUAACACGUGAGUAACCUGCCCUUGACUUUGGGAUAACUUCAGGAAACUGGGGCUAAUACCGGAUAGGAGCUCCUGCUGCAUGGUGGGGGUUGGAAAGUUUCGGCGGUUGGGGAUGGACUCGCGGCUUAUCAGCUUGUUGGUGGGGUAGUGGCUUACCAAGGCUUUGACGGGUAGCCGGCCUGAGAGGGUGACCGGCCACAUUGGGACUGAGAUGCGGCCCAGACUCCUACGGGAGGCAGCAGUGGGGAAUAUUGCACAAUGGGCGGAAGCCUGAUGCAGCAACGCCGCGUGCGGGAUGACGGCCUUCGGGUUGUAAACCGCUUUCGCCUGUGACGAAGCGUGAGUGACGGUAAUGGGUAAAGAAGCACCGGCUAACUACGUG